AAUAACCAAAAACUACUUCAAUUGUUGCUGGUAUUCUCCUCUAUGUUCUUGAAUCUCUGCCUCUCCAAAACUGUCCAAAACUGUCUUAUAUAUAUGUACAACGUACAGUCCCCCCAAACUGUGUUUGAGCAGCCCUAUUUAUAGUCACACAAUUGCCGCCUCAUAUUGUUCCUUAAGAGCUCAAAAUUCCCUUUUCCUUAAUCUGUAAGAUCUCUCUCCUACUUCACCGCCUUAGCUACUUGCAUUUGAGUUGUCAGAGCUCUUCAAAUUGCAUGUUAAGUUGCUGUAGAAGACAAAUUGAUUUUCUUAAUUGUGAAGGCACCCCCCUUAAUCUUCACCGCCACAUAACCUUUGUAUUCUCCUUUCCAAUUUCCUCAUUCUAAUUGCGAGGCACACAGCUCUUUCUUUCUUUCUUUGGACCAGCGUAAGUUAUACUUACUCAUUUCGGCUUGUUUGCAUAAAAUAAGAUAAAUGGUAAAUGGUAAGUAGUUAAUACUACUACUACUACUAAUAAUAAUAAUAAAAUAUAUCAUGUUUAGUGAUUCAAAAAUUGGAUUUACAUCUUUUUAUCUUUUCUUCUCUUUUCUAUAAUAAGAUCAAAUCAAGCUAGUAAUCUAUAUAAUAAUAAGUAACUAUUCUAAAAUACCACAAAAAGUAUCUACAUAUAAUACACUAAAUUGGAGUUUAUCAAUAACCAUAUUUCUGUCGAAUUUGAUCCGUUUGGUUUUUCUGUGAAGGAUUUUCAGACGGGGACGGUUCUAAUGAGAUGUGAGAGCCAACGCCAGCUAUAUCCCAUCUCCAACACAGCCAAAAAUAAAAACAAAUUUUCUUCCGAGUUUGCAGAUUUAUCUACUUCUAUUUGGCAUGACCGUUUAGGUCACCCAGAAGCAUCUAUUUUAGAUUCUCUUAGGAAAAAUAAAAUGAUAGAUUGUAUUGUUACUUCAAAGUCAAAUUCAACUUCUUGUCAUUCUUGUCCUCUUGGUAGGACUGUUUGGAUGUAUACUGUGGCUGAUUAUUUCUAUAAACGCCGCCGAAGUCGUUAUAGAGACUAUCUAUAUAGUCAUCUACAUCGUAUAUGACCCUGCACCUGUUCGGGUAUAUACACAUUUAUAUUUAUAAAUUCUAGUUUAUUUAAAAAUUAUUUGUACGUUCUAAGUUUGUGAUCGGUUCUUUCUUGGUCUAUUUGAUAGUCUUUGUUUGUAGCUCAUUGGGAAUAUUUAUUUUUGUUUAAACAAAG
rnacentral:lncRNA from 1 species